GCGAACGCUGGCGGCAGGCCUAACACAUGCAAGUCGAGCGGCCGUAGCAAUACGGCAGCGGCAGACGGGAGAGUAACACGUGGGAACGUACCUUUCAGUUCGGAACAACCAAGGGAAACUUUGGCUAAUACCGAAUACGUCCGUAAGGAGAAAGAUUUAUCGCUGAAAGAUCGGCCCGCGUCUGAUUAGCUAGUUGGUGAGGUAACGGCUCACCAAGGCGACGAUCAGUAGCUGGUCUGAGAGGAUGAUCAGCCUCACUGGGACUGAGACACGGCCCAGACUCCUACGGGAGGCAGCAGUGGGGAAUAUUGGACAAUGGGCGCAAGCCUGAUCCAGCCAUGCCGCGUGGAUGAUGAAGGCCCUAGGGUUGUAAAGUCCUUUCGACGGGGAAGAUAAUGACGGUACCCGUAGAAGAAGCCCCGGCUAACUUCGU
rnacentral:rRNA from 1 species